UACGUAGGUGGCGAGCGUUGUCCGGAUUUACUGGGCGUAAAGAGCGCGCAGGCGGUCGUACAAGUCGCGUGUGAAAGCCCCCGGCUCAACUGGGGAGGGUCACGCGAUACUGUUCGACUCGAAGGCAGGAGAGGGAAGUGGAAUUCCCGGUGUAGCGGUGAAAUGCGCAGAUAUCGGGAGGAACACCCGUAGCGAAGGCGGCACUCUGGGCCGGUACUGACGCUGAGGAGCGAAAGCGUGGGGAGCAAACAGG
rnacentral:rRNA from 1 species